rnacentral:rRNA from 1 species
UACGUAGGAGGCGAGCGUUGUCCGGAUUUACUGGGCGUAAAGCGCGCGCAGGCGGCACACUAAGUACGAUGUGAAAUCUCCCUGCUCAACGGGGAGGGUGCAUAGUAAACUGGUGAGCUAGAGGACGGUAGAGGGGGGUGGAAUUGCUGGUGUAGCGGUGAAAUGCGUAGAGAUCAGCAGGAACACCCGUGGCGAAGGCGGCCCCCUGGGCCGAACCUGACGCUGAGGCGCGAAGGCCAGGGGAGCGAACGGG